GACGGACAAGUGCUGCUGGCGCAAAGCGACCAGAUCCCCUGUUCUGACAGCUGGAUCCUGGACAAAUCCAAACGCUCCCGGGAUCAGGCAACGACGCACUCAACCCGUCCAAUGUGCCAAACCGUCACGAGGACCCCGGGGUUUCUGACGCAACACGGGUGGACUGAGAAUCUCCGUCCUCGGCGUCCUCGGCCUUGGACUGUCCGUCGGUUACCGGAUCACUGUCAUCAUCCUCGUUUACGUCCUCGCUGGUGGCACCGGGGGUCGAGCUCGAGGACUCGUCCUUGUGAUCUUUCUUCCAUUUCAUCCUCCGGUUCUGGAACCAUAUUUUGAUUUGGCGCUCGGUCAGGCAGAGCACUUGUGCUAUCUCCACGCGCCUACGACGGGUCAGGUACCGGUUGAAGUGGAAUUCUUUCUCCAUCUCCAGUGUCUGGUACCGGGAGUAGGUCUGACGUCCACGCUUUCGGUUUGGAUCUACAAGAGAAAAGGGUUUCAAUCUGCUAGGUCCAAUAAUAAAAAUACUACAACACUAAAACCAUGUUCUACACAAGCAUGGCAUAUGUAAUAACUCUGAUGAUAUCAUGAUAUUGAUAAUGACAUAUGUGACAAUUCUGUAAUUUUGCAUUCAUGUAUUAUUUCUAUAGAAGUUAAUCAAUUAAUAAAUAAAAACAUGUUGUGCCUGUGA